rnacentral:rRNA from 1 species
GACGAACGCUGGCGGCGUGCUUAACACAUGCAAGUCGAACGGAAAGGCCCUGCUUUUGUGGGGUGCUCGAGUGGCGAACGGGUGAGUAACACGUGAGUAACCUGCCCUUGACUUUGGGAUAACUUCAGGAAACUGGGGCUAAUACCGGAUAGGAGCUCCUGCUGCAUGGUGGGGGUUGGAAAGUUUCGGCGGUUGGGGCUGGACUCGCGGCUUAUCAGCCUGUUGGUGGGGUUGUGGCUUACCAAGGCUUUGAAGGGUAGCCGGCCUGAGAGGGUGGCCGGCGCCAUGGGGACUGAGAUACGGCCCAGAAUCCUACGGGAGGCAGCGGUGGGGAAUAUUGCACAAUGGGCGGAAGCCUGAUGCAGCAACGCCGCGUGCGGGAUGACGGCCUUCGGGUUGUAAACCGCUUUCGCCUGUGACGAAGCGUGAGUGACGGUAAUGGGUAAAGAAGCACCGGCUAACUACGUG